rnacentral:rRNA from 1 species
CCCUGCCAUUUGUACACACCGCCCGUCGCUCCUACCGAUUGAAUGAUCCGGUGAAGUGUUCGGAUUGCGUCGACGAUGGCGGUUCGCCGCCGUCGACGUCGUGAGAAGUUCAUUGAACCUUAUCAUUU